UUCAAAAAUAGAAAACGAGAAAAGGAUUAAAUUAAAACGCGCGCAACAGGAGGAGGACCGAAAAAGAAAUUUACCCAAACCUCCUAAAACGCCGCAUUUAAAAGGGGUUAAAAUAAUAAAAUUGGAAACCAAUGGGGCAAAUUCAAAAAAUUUUAGAAACAAAUUAAAGCAAUACAACAAAUCAAGAGGGUCAAAAGCACAAAUAUCCCAUUGGGAUAAAACAUGCGGGCUGUAAGAAGAAGGAAAGAAAAGCUGCUCCAUUUUCCCCCUUUGCUCCUCACAUUGGCAUUCUUCCCUGCUUUUUCCAACUCCGAUUCAAACCAAGCUCAGCGAGAGCAUCAACGACAUGCCGCCAUCGGGUGUCGAGGUCGUGGAAGAGGCGUAUGACGUGUGCGAAAGCUGCUGAACUUGGGGGCAAUUGCUGCGGCACUGAGGAAAGGAAAAAAAACUGCUGCUAGGGUUUCUGUUACCUUUGGCCAAUUGUGCCUUGUAAUUGGGUUAGAAUUGACCCAAGUUUAUUGGGUUUGGUUAUAUAUAAUUUGGGCUCGGGCAACAAUUGGGUAUUACAGGCGUGUUCAAUUAAAAAAAGCUAGUUGGAUUCCGUCAAAGGAGAUAGUGAUCGGAUUUAAAUGACCCACACGAUUGAGGCCGUUAAUUUGAGUUAGGCUUUUCAGAUCACAAGGCUGUCGAAGUAUUAAAUUAUAGGUACGUGCCACGUGGUUGGAAAUUCCACAAGGGUCGAUUUAUAGGUGAUAUCGGGAUCGGCUACGAAAGGUAGAGUUGGCGAUUUAGGGGAUCCUCGAUUACUAUAACUAGCUUAUCGCUUGGAAGGGAAAAUCUGUUUCAAUGAUCGAUUGAAAAUUGGAGUACACCGAGGCUAAGACUAAGCUUUAAAAAUAUUUUAUUUACCAAUUUAUUUUAUUUCUCUUAAUUUAUUUUGCAAUCACAUUUUUGCUUUAUUUUAUAUACAUAUAUUUUUAUCUUCUUUUAAUAUUAUUAUCUCUAUUAACUAAACCCCCUUUUUAUUUUCCAACAUUGCAACAUGUAUAGGUCAUGGGCACGACUGUUACCACGACAUGAAUUCUGGUCACAAGAAAGGCAAAAUUAGAUAACCAGUCCCUGUAGAUUCGACCCUAUUGCUCUAUAUUCAAUUUACUAUAUUUUUGUCGUAGGAAUUUAUAUUUGGUGGUUUCGACGCCCAUAAGAAAGUAUAUGGUCUGUUAAGUCAAGAGUUCUUUGUGAAAGUAGAGAAAAAAUGUAUUUUCCCAAUAUUAGAGUUCGUCUGGGGAUACUAUCCUUCAAGGAUAGGUAUCCGCCACAAAUCUAUGUUGAAAAGUACACCCAUAUGUACCUACGUAUAGAGUGUCAACUUAGUAAAUUGUGUGUAUGUUUAUAUUUAUGUUGUAUUAUCCCUACUUUUGUAAUUUGUCUGGAAGGGGUUAAACUCUUUUAAUUCUGGAGCUCACUAAGUUCUUUCGAACUUACUCCGUUUCUUUCCCUUUUUCUAGGUGGUACUUCGUCGUAAAGCUUGUAGAAGGGAUUCAGUCAGAAGGAGCGACCUCUACUGUGAGCUUCGUCGAUGUUUGUUUUGUAACUUGCAUAUAUUUUAGGGGUGGCGUGUAUUGCUGUUUUGUAAGCAAGAUCUGUAAUAAAAUACUUCUUUAUAAGCCUCUGUUUUAAAAGUAUGUUACCCUUGAGGGAUUGGCUAAGCUUUGAUGAAGUUCGUAUAUGAGGUAUUUUCUAAA